rnacentral:snoRNA from 1 species
CUUGAUCAUAUGAUGAAAUAUUUCGGAUGUAAACUCACAGACCUGUUCGGAAUGCGCAAAACCGUGUCGAGAUUUUCCGUUGCCUUCCUUCUGACUGAUCAA